GAUAAUUUAUUCUAUCGUGAUAAGAGGAAAGGAAGAGAGGUUGAAUGCAGUUGCAGAUUUGAAGAUGUUCAGUUUGCGGUGGACUGUACUAGCAGUGAAGAGUAAUUGGAAGAAGGGCAUUUUGGGAAUUUGGCAACAGAAAAACUUGUUAUUUGUUGAGAGACAUGUGAAUUUGCAGCUUUAGAUGUUCUAUUCAGGCAGCAUUUAAGUUUGGAGGGUCAACAGAUCAGACUUGGAGUCCUGAUAUGUGUCAGAAAUUGGGGAAGAUUACUGCCUGAGACAGCACAGGGCAGCGACAG
rnacentral:lncRNA from 1 species